UGAGAAAUGACACUGCCUGUAAGGUCACAUGUCCAUCCACUCUUGUCAUGGUUAGUCCUUGCUGGUUUUGCUGUCUUACGUCAUUGAAAGAGAACUUUGUUGAGACUGAAGAUUAGAAAUCAUGCAAGAGUAUGUGGCACUUACAUCACGACUUGAGGAUUAACUGGAGUCAACAGCUAAGCUACUCCCUACUUUGAGAUAAGCUGGAAUAUUGAUGUGGCUACAAAGGGGAUGCAUAUGAGGUAAUAAACACUGAAGCUUUUU
rnacentral:lncRNA from 1 species